rnacentral:rRNA from 1 species
UACGGGGGGGGCAAGCGUUGUUCGGAAUUACUGGGCGUAAAGGGCGCGUAGGCGGCUUUUCAAGUCGGGCGUGAAAUCUCCAGGCUUAACCUGGAAGGGUCGUUCGAUACUGUUAAGCUAGAGUGUGGAAGAGGCUACUGGAAUUCCGUGUGUAGCGGUGAAAUGCGUAGAUAUACGGAGGAACACCAACGGCGAAGGCAGCUCGCUGGGACGGUACUGACACUGAGGCGCGAAAGCGUGGGGAGCGAACAGG